rnacentral:rRNA from 1 species
UCCGGUUAGGGGGGCCUGCGGAAGGAUCAUUACCGAGUGAGGGCCCUCUGGGUCCAACCUCCCACCCGUGUUUAUUUUACCUUGUUGCUUCGGCGGGCCCGCCUUAACUGGCCGCCGGGGGGCUUACGCCCCCGGGCCCGCGCCCGCCGAAGACACCCUCGAACUCUGUCUGAAGAUUGUAGUCUGAGUGAAAAUAUAAAUUAUUUAAAACUUUCAACAACGGAUCUCUUGGUUCCGGCAUCGAUGAAGAACGCAGCGAAAUGCGAUACGUAAUGUGAAUUGCAAAUUCAGUGAAUCAUCGAGUCUUUGAACGCACAUUGCGCCCCCUGGUAUUCCGGGGGGCAUGCCUGUCCGAGCGUCAUUGCUGCCCUCAAGCACGGCUUGUGUGUUGGGCCCCGUCCUCCGAUCCCGGGGGACGGGCCCGAAAGGCAGCGGCGGCACCGCGUCCGGUCCUCGAGCGUAUGGGGCUUUGUCACCCGCUCUGUAGGCCCGGCCGGCGCUUGCCGAUCAACCCAAAUUUUUAUCCAGGUUGACCUCGGAUCAGGUAGGGAUACCCGCUGAACUUAAGCAUAUCAAUAAGACGGAAGAACCGAGU